rnacentral:rRNA from 1 species
UACGAAGGGUGCAAGCGUUACUCGGAAUUACUGGGCGUAAAGCGUGCGUAGGUGGUUUUGUUAAGUCUGAUGUGAAAGCCCUGGGCUCAACCUGGGAAUUGCAUUGGAUACUGGCAGGCUAGAGUGCGGUAAGAGGAUGGCGGAAUUCCCCGGUGUAGUAGUGAAAUGCGUAGAGAUCGGGAGGAACAUCUGUGGCGGAAGGCGGCCAUCUGGACCCAGCACUGACACUGAGGCACGGAAAGCGUGGGGAGCCAAAACCGGAAUUAGAUACCCCCUGU